GAUGAACGCUGGCGGCGUGCUUAACACAUGCAAGUCGAACGGGAUCCACCGGGCUUUGCUUGGUGGUGAGAGUGGCGAACGGGUGAGUAAUGCGUGACCGACCUGCCCCAUACACCGGAAUAGCUCCUGGAAACGGGUGGUAAUGCCGGAUGCUCCAGUUGAUCGCAUGGUCUUCUGGGAAAGCUUUCGCGGUAUGGGAUGGGGUCGCGUCCUAUCAGCUUGACGGCGGGGUAACGGCCCACCGUGGCUUCGACGGGUAGCCGGCCUGAGAGGGCGACCGGCCACAUUGGGACUGAGAUACGGCCCAGACUCCUACGGGAGGCAGCAGUGGGGAAUAUUGCACAAUGGGCGCAAGCCUGAUGCAGCGACGCCGCGUGAGGGAUGGAGGCCUUCGGGUUGUAAACCUCUUUUAUCGGGGAGCAAGCGAGAGUGAGUUUACCCGUUGAAUAAGCACCGGCUA
rnacentral:rRNA from 1 species